UACUCAUUACUUUUAUUGGUUAAAUCUUGCCAUUUUUGUGCAAAUUCUAGUAGAUUUUCUCCUUCGCUAGCAGCAAUCAUAUCAAACGGUACUCGGUUUGUGUAAUAUUUUGCGCUACCAGUUGAUGGCAUAGAACCUUUUGGUAUAAGACGAAUUUCGGGUUUCAUAUUUUCGGAAUUCAUUGAUUCCAAUUCAGACCAAGAGAAUAGUAAACCAUCUGUUCUUGGGUAAAACGGAUUAAUAUCAAUCAACCAAGCACGAUCUUUAUGAAUAUAUACGUCAAACACGACUAUUUUCAAGUUAGUAAAAUAAAUAACUCCAAAGGACUAGUUCAUAAGCACUUAAAUAUUAACUUACAAUCAGGAUCCGGGAAUGUAUCAAGUUUUU